UCGGAGAGUUUGAUCCUGGCUCAGGACGAACGCUGGCGGCGUGCCUAAUACAUGCAAGUCGAGCGAACAGAAGGGAGCUUGCUCCCGGAUGUUAGCGGCGGACGGGUGAGUAACACGUGGGUAACCUGCCUGUAAGACUGGGAUAACUCCGGGAAACCGGAGCUAAUACCGGAUAGUUCCUUGAACCGCAUGGUUCAAGGAUGAAAGACGGUUUCGGCUGUCACUUACAGAUGGACCCGCGGCGCAUUAGCUAGUUGGUGGGGUAAUGGCUCACCAAGGCGACGAUGCGUAGCCGACCUGAGAGGGUGAUCGGCCACACUGGGACUGAGACACGGCCCAGACU
rnacentral:rRNA from 1 species